UCGGGUUGUAAAGCACUUUUGUCCGGAAAGAAAACUUCUGCCCUAAUACGGCGGGAGGAUGACGGUACCGGAAGAAUAAGCACCGGCUAACUACGUGCCAGCAGCGCGGUAAUCGUAGGGUGCGAGCGUUAAUCGGAAUUACUGGGCGUAAAGCGUGCGCAGGCGGUUCGUUAAGACAGAUGUGAAAUCCCCGGGCUUAACCUGGGAACUGCAUUUGUGACUGGCGAGCUAGAGUAUGGCAGAGGGGGGUAGAAUUCCACGUGUAGCAGUGAAAUGCGUAGAGAUGUGGAGGAAUACCGAUGGCGAAGGCAGCCCCCUGGGCCAAUACUGACGCUCAUGCACGAAAGCGUGGGGAGCAAACAGGAUUAGAUACCCUGGUAGUCCACGCCCUAAACGAUGUCAACUAGUUGUUGGGGAUUCAUUUCCUUAGUAACGUAGCUAACGCGUGAAGUUGACCGCCUGGGGAGUACGGUCGCAAGAUUAAAACUCAAAGGAAUUGACGGGGACCCGCACAAGCGGUGGAUGGAUGUGGAUUAAUUCGAUGCAACGCGAAAAACCUUACCUACCCUUGACAUGGUCGGAACCUGCUG
rnacentral:rRNA from 1 species